rnacentral:rRNA from 1 species
AUUGAACGCUGGCGGCAGGCUUAACACAUGCAAGUCGAGCGGGGUGAUGGUGCUUGCACUAUCACUUAGCGGCGGACGGGUGAGUAAUGCUUAGGAAUCUGCCUAUUAGUGGGGGACAACAUCUCGAAAGGGAUGCUAAUACCGCAUACGUCCUACGGGAGAAAGCAGGGGGUCACUUGUGACCUUGCGCUAAUAGAUGAGCCUAAGUCGGAUUAGCUAGUUGGUGGGGUAAAGGCCUACCAAGGCGACGAUCUGUAGCGGGUCUGAGAGGAUGAUCCGCCACACUGGGACUGAGACACGGCCCAGACUCCUACGGGAGGCAGCAGUGGGGAAUAUUGGACAAUGGGGGGAACCCUGAUCCAGCCAUGCCGCGUGUGUGAAGAAGGCCUUAUGGUUGUAAAGCACUUUAAGCGAGGAGGAGGCUCUUUUGGUUAAUACCCAAGAUGAGUGGACGUUACUCGCAGAAUAAGCACCGGCUAACUCUGUGCCAGCCGCCGCCGUAAGAC